rnacentral:lncRNA from 1 species
CGCAGCUAAAUUGGCUUCUGCUGGACUUCAGUGCACUACAGCUUUUCUUCUGAAAAGAAGAGAAGGGUUUUAAGUGAYUUGGGAGCACGAGGCAAGCUGCUGCUGAGAGCGCUGCACUUUCCAUGCUCUCGUGGAGUGUCCUCUCCGGUCUGUGGCAGUGAGUGGUGGUCGUCUAUUGUGGACUAUUUGUGGUGGUCUUGAUGCCCUACAGCCAAGAGUUUCCCAAGGAUUUUCACAUGGGUCCUUCUUUAGAUAUCAACACCUGUGGUCUGAUUUUCCGAAGCAUCAAAAGUCAACGUCUCUGCUUCAGUCAGUGGAAUCGGCCAGGAGCUCAGCGCUAUGCACUGUCACUGCGCAGUAAGCGUCUGAUUUUGAACGCCCCUGGAAGGAAGGUGUUGCUGCUACAAGGAGAGCUCCCACGCUGUUGUGUGCUGGUAUCUGGAGAAGUGCGUUUCAUGCUCCUCACAUGGAGGCUGUAGCUUGGUCGGCUCACACAGGGAGCCAGGAGAGACAACACAACGCUUUUCAGCACUUCAGCCACAUGGGAAUUUUGCCACCCCAAAGAUGAGACUCAAGGUAAUGGAUUUUGUCCUUGAUGGUGGCAACAGCAAAAUUCAGUGUGAACACUAGGGGCCAAGCAGACUCGGAGAUGGCAGCUGGGGAAAUGCUAGAGGUCACUGGGAUAUCAGAGAAUUGUGGUGCAUAUAUGGCUUCACUGUUAAUAAUAUUAUUUACAGUGGGAGAGACAAGAACAAUAUUAAACACCUGUCUGCAUGCAAAGAUGCUUUUGGUUCAUGACUGGCUGAAGCAGUCAGCCGGGGAAUCUUUAUUUGUCUAACGAGAAAUUAGCAGCCCAACCUUGGAGCAGGGGGUGCUCAGGCUGGGUUGCACGGAGGUGAACAGCAUCCUGUGAGAGCAGGACAAGCACAGGCAACAUGGGAUAAAGCAGGGACCUUCAGGAAAGUUUCUUUUUUUUCCCUCUACAAAAUUUUGCCAGGACACUCACAGCUUUAUCCGGGGAUCAUUUGACAGGUCACAUGCCUUCACAGCCUAUACAUAUGAAAUAGGUGGGUUUUCCCCCAAAUGUACAACUUCAAACUUCUGCUAGUGUAGAGAUGAACUCAACCUUUAGAGUCUUACUGAUGCAGUGUUGCUAUUACAGAAAUUUGCUGUUGGGUUUGAUGCAGGCUGCGGUCCCAGCUGGGUUUAGAGCUCCGCUGUGCCAGAUGCUGCAAAUGCACGGAAGAGAGAGGGACCUUCCAGGACUACAUGCUCCAGACCCACAGGGUUUUAUAUUUUAAUAGACAAAAGCAGCAAGUGGCGGAAGAAAAGGAAAAGUGUUGUCUCUGUUCAGCCAGUAAGAUCAGGUGACUUGCCCAAAGUUACCCAGCAGAAAUGGGAAUUCAACCUGAGUCUUCCCAGCGCCAGUCCCGCAUCUCGCCAACGUGCUUGGUCCCCUCUCCCAGGGAGGGAAAACACGCUGAUCCCUUCUGUAUCACCUUCAUACUGCAGGAGACAGUAAGGACAGGCAACCUCCACCUUUCCUUGCUGCUCUUGAAGAUCGCACCCUUCUCUUGGUUCAGCCACAUCACACCAGUUACCAAGCCCUGACUCCAGCCUUGGUCCUCGCAGCCCCAGCAAAGUGCUCGGCUGCACAGCCCAGGCAGCAGCAACAGCUUCUCUCUCUGCAGGUUUCGUUGGAACUAAAUUUCAAACCAUGCAACUUUUGCUCCAAAUCAAAGACACUUUGGAAAGAAAAUCAAUACUUUUCAGAGGGGAAAAAUAGGCAAAAAUUCUCAUUUAAUGAGUCUGUAUUUUUAUGUAUUUUGCAAACCCUGGAAGUAAGCAUCUUCCUGCUGACUACAAUCAACUUUGAGAGAUGAGGAGCAGAUUUUUCUGGAGUUCUCCAUUCCCCUAUGAAAUGUGUGUCUAGAAGGGGGAGGGGAGUAGAAAACAGCUGGCAGUUUAGAUGAAAAAUGUAUUGAAUAUGCUAAGCAUGUGAUUAUCAAAGGUUCAUAACUCAGUCGAAUCAAAACCAAUUUCUUUCAGAACAAUGAGACACACUUCUCAAUGAAGGCUCUUCCCAGGCCAAAUUUCAUCUUUCAGAAAUAACAUGCUGUAAGUACUUCUUGUAUAAUAAUAAAAAUAAAAAAAGGACUUAUUUUACUGCCUUC